GGAUGAGGUUGUCACUAUGUCGGCCUUGAAGUGAGGCCUCGACAAUGAGUACCUCAUCUAUUUCCUUGACAAGAUGUUUUCGAGGGAUUAUACCGAUCUCUUAGCCCGUGCCUACAAGUAUAUGUAGGCCAAGAAAGGUCGAGUCACGCAUCGACAGGAGGGAGGUCGGGCUCCCAACAAAAAGAAGCAUGCAUGGGAGGACACGCUCCCGAACCAACCUAAUAUCGAAUCCUCUCGACUAGUGAAAGCCCCUCGAUCGAGGAGCCCACCUUGGCAGUACAACAACUAUGCUCCACUGAUUGUCCCUCGUACUCAAAUUCUGAUGGAGAUCGAGGAUCAAGACUAUCUUCAUCGACCUCCAUCGAUGAAGACUCCAUCAACAAGGAGGGACAAGCAAAAAUACUACCAUUUCUAUCAUGACCACGGUCACAACAUCGAGGAGUGCC
rnacentral:lncRNA from 1 species